rnacentral:misc_RNA from 1 species
GAUGAAGAACGUAGCGAAAUGCGAUAAGUAAUGUGAAUUGCAGAAUUAAGUGAAUCAUCGAAUCUUUGAACGCACAUUGCGCCCCUUGGUAUUCCGAGGGGCAUGCCUGUUCGAGCGUCAUUAUAACCCCUCAAGCUCAGCUUGGUGUUGGGGCCUGCUGCACUGGCAGCCCUUAAAAUCAGUGGCGGCGCCAUCUGGCUCUAAGCGUAGUAAUUCUUCUCGCUAUGGAGUCCUGGUGGAUGCUUGCCAUCAACCCCCAAUUUUUCUAUGGUUGACCUCGGAUCAGGUAGGGAUACCCGCUGAACUUAAGCAUAUCAAUAAGCGGAGGA